rnacentral:rRNA from 1 species
UGGGGAAUAUUGCACAAUGGGCGCAAGCCUGAUGCAGCCAUGCCGCGUGUAUGAAGAAGGCCUUCGGGUUGUAAAGUACUUUCAGUCGGGAGGAAGGUGUCAAGGUUAAUAACCUUGGCAAUUGACGUUACCGACAGAAGAAGCACCGGCUAACUCCGUGCCAGCAGCCGCGGUAAUACGGAGGGUGCAAGCGUUAAUCGGAAUUACUGGGCGUAAAGCGCACGCAGGCGGUUGAUUGAGUCAGAUGUGAAAUCCCCGGGCUUAACCCGGGAAUUGCAUCUGAUACUGGUCAGCUAGAGUCUCGUAGAGGGGGGUAGAAUUCCAGGUGUAGCGGUGAAAUGCGUAGAGAUCUGGAGGGAUACCGGUGGCGAAGGCGGCCCCCUGGACGAAGACUGACGCUCAGGUGCGAAAGCGUGGGGAGCAAACAGG